CAAACAUCCGCUCCAGGUCGCUUUCUUGAGGAAGGACCCCUUCAAUUAAGGCCAAGAAUUAAGGCAGACAAAGCCAUUCUAGACACACACUCUCAUUUCUACGUGGUGCAUAAACAGAAUUAUGACUUCCAUUGUCCUGGCCACCUUCCAAGUAGCUCUCCUCCUUUCCUGUGUGACAUAUCCAUCUCCUUCUGGUCAUGCAGCACCACAGAACUUCUCCAGGCACUGUUCAGCGUGGGCUGCCUCCAUCCUGGACUGGUUUUGCCCCUGUCUGCCUCGUUCCCAGGGACUGCUCUUUGCUGGGCAGGUUACUCACUGCUCUUGGCACUCUCUGACAUGCUCAGAUGUGGAGGGCUCUGCUCUCCCCUGUCCUCCACAGGCAACCCAGCCAAAAUCCAGCAGCGCCAUCCAAACCCUCCAAACCUUCCCGGUUUGCUGCUCUCACGGAUCUCAUCUGUCUCCUCCUCUCUGGAUUCGCCUGCCUCAGAGAGAAAAGGUCCUGUCCAGGCUGGUGCUGGGUGCCCUCACUUCUCAUGGAAGUCAGAGAUGAGUCACACUCAGGAUCCCACAGGAUUGAACCUCAGGACGGUCCUGUAACCACAGGGUCACAGGAUCUUGUCCAGUUGUGAG
ensembl:lncRNA